rnacentral:lncRNA from 1 species
UGUGCAGAGCCUAGUGGACAUUUCUGGAAACUCAGCAGCCUAACUUCAUUCUCACUCCUGGAAGACUCAAGUUCACAGGAGUUUUUCAGAGAUUAGGUUGCUUCGAGAGAUCCUAGUCUGUUUAAUUUUCAGUUGCCUUGGUAACCACCAGGAUGCUGAUUCAGCUGAGACACUCCAGGACUCUGUCAUCCCAGAUUGCUCACAGGCUCUAAAAAUAUAAGACUGAAAUCAAAUAGCCAGUACAGCUUAACACCCAAACUGGAGUGAACUCUGCAGGUGACCUGAGAAGAACGUAUUGCCAAACAUACUAGGUCACUCAGGCUGCUGUGUGCAGAAGAUACUGUUUCCUUGUAGCUGUCCACCACCUCAGGAUCUUACACUCUUUCCUCUCUCUCUUCCACAGUGAUUGGUGAGCCUUGGAAAGAGAGGGUGCAGCAACUGUGUCCUGCACAGGGAUGAGCAUUCUGAGGAGUAAAACCCUAACUAAGAUAGAAACAUAUGGAGGAUUCAACCUAACCUAUGAUUGGGGGUCCCAUAUGAAUCAGCAAAGCAGAGAAAGGUAGAACUUCCAGAAAAAUCCAUUUCUGUGUUUCUAAGUCAGUGCUUUCAUUGUGAUUUAGGAUGGCUUCCCUGGGCAACUAACUCAGCGUUACAGAAAACUCUAUGCCCUCUCAGACUGAAUUAAGAGCCAGACUGUGUGGAUUUUCAGAGAUCCACACCACUGUGAAUACAAGGGUUUGUAGUAUUUCCACACGACACAGAGACAGCUCUCCAGCCUUUCUUUGGGGAGUUGCAUAACCUCUCUCUGCCUUGAUUUCUCCAUCUGUCUGAGCUCAGCGUCAUUGUGUCUGGCUUCGGUGUGCAUGUAACUUAGCAGUAUUUCAUGCUCUGCUUGUGUCUGGUAGCUGCCUUCAAGGACACCACAUGGAAGGGGAGGAAGCAUCUUGGUAAGGAAAACAAUGAGAUCUCAGAAAGGAAAAGCAAAACCAAGCACCACUGGGACCCAUAGACACUCCAGAGGCUACAUCUAUUUUUGUCAUUUUGAUGCCUGCUGUUAACAAGUCUGCUCUGUUGUAGAGGAAGCUGGGGCUCUAAUUCUGCUGCCUGAGGGAUGCUGAUAAUAAUAAAAAGUACUUUUCUUCUUUCUGAUAUUAGAAGGACAGAGCUGAACUAACAAAAGGAAAAGAAUGAGCCAACCAAUGUUUGAGGAAGAGAGAGAAAGGCGAAGCCAACACUGCAGAUGAUGUGUGAUGACUUUGGAAGUCCUCUUGGCUGGAAGAGAGCUGGACAGACUAUAUGCAGAGAUCCAUCACAGGCUGGCUCAGGUGACGCCAACAUGAGUUCUUCAGUUAGAUAAUGGAAGCAAGGCUAAAGAGUGGACAAGUUCUCAACUGCAGAGAAGGGAUACACCAUGAUCUUCACAGACAGAACUAAUAUCCUUGUCUGGCUUUUUAGCCCAUUUCUCAAUGCAAAUGAAAGGAUUUUUUUUUAAUAAUAAAUAGAAGAAACGUCAUGGAGCAAAUGGCACAUUAGGGAUCAACUCAGACAAGACUGAUCUAUCACUUAUCAAAUGCACCAACAGUUAAAAGAACCCAAAUGUAUGUAUUCAAUAGGAACUCAUUCCUGACCAUAUUUAUGGUGAAGAUGGUACUUGUGUUGUGGGGGUUACACAUUGAUUUGACAGGUCUCAUAAAAAUCUUGGUAGCAAAGGUAAGAAGCAACAAGGCAUGAUUACUAAAGUCUGUGUUAGUGUGAUGGUGAAGCAGGGAUUGCCAGCCAAGUGCUUUGUAAAGGAGAAGUACCCUGAGCCCUUCUUUUCACUGAAAACCUACAAAGGACUUCCUUCUGCUGUUUGGGCUGUGAGCAGAGAGGUUACAACAAACCAAGUAGUGCAGAAACAUUGAGUCCUCUUUGCAGAGGGGCUCCAGAGGAGACCCCCACAGGAACAACCAAGCCCAGGGUUCAAAAGGGUGCCCAUGCCCAGAAUCC